rfam:Pseudogymnoascus pannorum VKM F-3808 contig_1521, whole genome shotgun sequence.
ACAUACGACCAUAGACUCAAGAGAACUGGGCAUCCCGUCCGCUCUGCCAUACAUAAACUUGUGAUCGGUGGAUUAGUAGUUGGGUGGGUGACCACCAGCGAAUACCCACUGUUGUAUGUU